rnacentral:lncRNA from 1 species
UUUUUUUUCCAAAGUGGUUUUCCAUGUCAACAAGUCAGCCAUUCUGUCAUCCUUUUCUAUUACGGUAGCGAAAUCGUUCUUUAAUUCCAGCCACAGAUCUGCCGUUUUUCUCUCUCUCUCUCUAUAUGCAUAAUUACGCCCAUGGCAGCAGCCUCAAUUGUUUUAUGGAAUUAGAAUUCUUUUCUUAAAAUCCUAGCAGCCGACUUCUCUUGUUUUCUGUCGUGUGAUAAAAUCAGUUCAGCCCUGCGCAGCCCUCAAUCUGCCGUUUUCUGCUGAUAAAUAUUUCUUAAAUUCAAUCCCGGC